rnacentral:misc_RNA from 1 species
AUUUUCAAUGCAACCAUGCUAAUCGACGACAAGUGCAAUAGAAGAUAAGAAAAAGGGGUGUAGGAGUUGUGAUUUUGAGCAAUUUUAGGCAUUCUGCCUUUGAAUAAUAAUUUUUUGCUUUUUGUCACUGCAUGAGUGAUUAGUAUCUUACUUAAAUAUAUUUAUUAAUACCAGUUAUCAGUUUCCAUGUGCUUCCAAAUUAGUGUGUUCGAGACGUAUUGACCUCGAGUGAACCGAAGUUGAGCGACCUCCCAAGAACAUCAAUGUAGCGGAAAGCAACAUAAAAGAACACAAUUAAACCAGUGGAAAUAAUCAGUCUCACACAAUAGAAGAUAGAACUAAGGUCGUACAAAUAAGAGCAUCUGAAGUGUUUGCAUUGGUAUAUGUAUCACGUCCGAUAUGGGCGCAAAUGGUUUCAAAACCGAAGAUAACAAAGCAGCAGUUACAAUUGUGCAUCACGUUACUGGAAGCGGCAAUGGUACUAGUAGUGGCAGUGUAGCAAAUAACACGACUGCGGCCAAUAUGAGCAUUGAGACGUGUCUGGUAUGUGGAGAUCGCGCAUCAGGUCGCCAUUAUGGAGCUAUAUCAUGUGAAGGUUGCAAGGGCUUCUUCAAGCGUUCCAUACGCAAGCAGUUGGGUUAUCAAUGCCGAGGCUCGAUGAACUGUGAAGUAACCAAACAUCAUCGCAAUCGCUGUCAAUUUUGUCGUCUACAAAAAUGUUUAGCCAGCGGAAUGCGAAGUGAUUCUGUUCAACAUGAACGAAAACCGAUUGUUGAUAAGAAGGAGUUUGCCGGCAGCUCUUCUUCGGGCUCUUCUACUUCAACAGUUAAUGCUGCGGCAGCUGCAGCUGCUUUGAAUGCCAACAAUUCUGCUACCGGUGGAGGAAAUAUGCUAUUUAGUCAUAACUUAGCAAACAGCGGUGUACCCGCCAAUAACAAUGAAGUACCAUCGACCUCGAAGCCUUCUUCCAUAUUUCCAUUUAAUUUGGCAUUGCCUGAAAUGAGACAGGCAAUGGCAAACAAUGCUGAUGUAGCCGUUCCACCUUUACCAUUUCACCUUACUUUUGCUGAUAUGAGACAAAUAAUACAAAAUGCGAAAAACUUUCAGCAAGAAAAAGAACUUUCUGCGCAAACUCAACCACCACAGUCGCUCUUCUAUUCACCGGAUUUGGCAAAGAUCGGCGAUGAAGAUGAAGAUGAUGACGAAUCUUUGGACAAUAGCAGCACCACGUGCCUACAAAACCUAACCACAAACGCCAAUAAUAAUAACACCCAAAAUUUGAACCUUAACAUUGACCCAAUGCACAGCCCUGCCACAGCGGUCGCACAAAUACAGGUGUCAUUGGACAGACGUGUUAUUGAAAAAGCAUUACAAUUGCUGAUUCCCAUUCAAAAUCAAUUGGACCGUUUGUCCUUGGCCGCAGGCGGUGCAAGCAUAAGUGGCAACAUCGAUGGAUCGCCAAUCAUCAAAAGCGAAAUAGAAGACGAAGACAUGGGCGAAGACAGCGGCGCCGAGGAUGUAUACGAUUUGGCUGAAGCGAUACUUGGAGUUGGGAAUAUAAAGAAUUUCGUUAUAAACGAGUCUGUCUUCGAGAAUGAAGUGUUGUCGGACGCUCAAGCCACUUUUAACCUUCAAGCUCCCACUUUGGUGUCAGCUUAUCUCAAUCUUCAUUACAUUUGUGAAACUGGUUCACGCAUAAUUUUCCUUAGCAUCUUUUGGAUGCGUAAAAUAAUGGCUUUCGAUCAACUGGACAUACGCUCUCAAAUUAAAUUGCUGCGAGCCAGCUGGCCCGGCUUGUUGGCAAUAGCAUUAGCACAAGUGAGGAGCCUGUCGGUUAGCACAAUUAUUACCACGCUGGUGGCAAAUGUACGACAACUGGCAGAGAUUGAAAAAAUCGAACCGCAAAAGAUACGAAAGCUGAGUGAACACAUUUCUCGUCUGCAUUCGUAUAUUCAAGAUACGCUCGCAUUGGAUUUGGAUGACAUGGAAUUCGCACUGCUGCGCCUCGCUAUUUUCUUUAACCCGCACAUGCUACCGAGAAAUCGAGAACGCAAUGUAAGAGACUUUGUGCGACGCGUACAACUUUAUGUACUGUCAAGCUUACGUAAACAUAUCGCAAGUCAAUUAGGUAAUGAAAUGCAAGCGGAGGAACGUUUUAGUACGCUGGUUCUCACUCUAUUACCAUUAGCGGCCUUAGAAUCGGAUGUUGUGGAAGAAUUAUUUUUUUCUAGCUUAAUUGGACAAGUGCAGAUUGACAAUAUGAUACCUUAUAUUUUAACACUGAGCGCCAACACAAGCCUAUAAUAAGUCAUUCAUUGAGCGGCUUUAAGCGCCAAAUGGCAAGAAUUUUCCACGAAAUGAAAACUGUGUCACCUUUGCUGUGCUCUCAGAGCAAGCACUCGACUGCAUCCACCCGGGGAUCACCCACCGCGCUCCUUCAAUUCAAUAUCGUAGUCUCAUUGAAAUCGCAUAACAGCGACUUGGAUGGCUAGUACUUAAGUAUUCGAAGACCAACUCCACUUGGCUUCGCUUUCUUCCCCAAACUAGGGUAACCGACUUAAAUACGUGUUCUGGGAAGCUAAAUAAAUUACAACAAACCUAGAAGUUUCGAGUCCGCACUUGAGUGUUAGUAAAUGCAUUGCAUUCUGCUAAUGCUAACUUUUAAAGUCAAUAAAAAUUAUAUUAUACAUAAUUAAGUGACAAUAAUAACAGACUGAAGUAAAUAU